GCAUAUGAACAUAGGGGAGUGGGAGAUAUGGUUUCCCGUCCGUUCAGCCGUAUCACAAACCGCUCGCCGGGCUGUUUGUACUUGGGCGGGAGACUACCUGCGAAUCUGGGCUUUCGUAUAUU
rnacentral:rRNA from 1 species